UACUCAUUCCCCCAGCUGCUGGAUUUGUUGGAGGCUGACAGCUCUCUGCUGACUCUCUCUCUCUCUUUAUCCCUCUCUGUGUCUCUCUCUGGAAACUGACCCUGGCUAAUGAGAGUACUCUCACCCAAAGUUCAUGGCCUUUCCCAGGAGGAGCAAUGACUGGUUGAUAUGGCAGUUUAAAAGUCUGGACCUUGCCUCAGUUCAAAACAUCUUUGAAGGGACAUCUGAACUCCAGAAGUCCCUCGAGAGAUCAUCUGAGACAUCUGCUGGGACUGCAAUGGAGUUCAACUUCUCCCUCUGACAAUCCUGCUUCAUUCCCCACCCCACACAGGCACCUGAAGAUCUAGUCUGAUAUUCUGCCACAGUAUAUUAAGUUUGCUGUAAGAAAAAAUGCCAGUGCAUUCACCUCAGUACUCGAUAUUAUGCAUACAGUGGAAUGAAGGAGAGCUGCCAUUUCUUGCUUAAGUUUCUGUCACCAGAGGUCCUGAGCCUCCCUAGGUUAGAGGUUCAGCUUGGCUGCUAGAGAGACCAGGUGGAGAGGCACCAAGGAGAGUGAAAG